CUCUGUGCUGACAGCUCAGAGCCUGGAUCCUGCUACAGGUUCCGUGACUCUCUCUAUCUCUGCCUCUCCCCUUCUGAAAAAAUAAAUAAAUGCCAAAAAAAAAAAGUUUUUUCAAAAGGCAAUGUGAAGUGUCAGUACAGACCAGUUGAAUCUUAGGUCACAAAACAACUAUAUUCAAAUUGACCAGGGCUUGUAACUUAUUAAAAAUGACUGGUAGCAGAAAAUCCAGAGAAAAACUAACAAACAGCAAUUAGACUUAUAUAGCAUUUACUGCAAUUGGUAUUAUUAAAAUGCUUUUUCAAGUUGGGAAAUCCUAGAUGUAAGCAACAAGGCUCAGUAUCCUUAAUAACACCACUUGUAUUUUUUUUUUGUAAAUAAUUACAUUCAGAAGCUAGUACACUUAUCUGUAAACAUGAAUGAAAUAUUUCCUUCCUCUACCAUUAACAUACUCCUCAACAAUGUAUGUUUUCAGAAAUUAAUAGUCAAUGUAAUAGUCCCUAGAGAUAGCAGAAGAAAGAAUCCAUUAUUUAAUGAAGAGCUAAUCGUCUGAAAAAUGAAAACCAGAUGUCAAUAGUUCUCAUAUAUUUAGUGAUAUCAGAUGUAAAAAUAAUUAAUAGCACUUGGUACAAAUUCUAUGAGAGCAGGGAUUUCAUAGGACUGGAAAAGGUAAUCUGUGGGCUUUAUAUCAUUCUCAUACUGUCAUUAAAAAACAAAGCAAGCAAACAAACACUUUUAAAUAAACAAUCUACCCCUUGAUCCUUCUGGUUUAAGUUUAAAUGUGCAAUAUACGUUAAAAAGUUUAAAGUUUCAUGCACAGUACCUACUGAAAUUUUGUUCUUUUCCAAAUUGAACAUAUCUACAUCUAGACAAUGUAUAAAAUAGUUUGUCCUUAUUAGAGAUAUUUCUCAUUAACCUAAACAACAUUAUUACCACUGAGGUGUUCUAUUACUUGGCAGCAUACUGAUUUGCAAGCCCUUAUCCUAGGCUUCUUUUAAUUGUAAAUAUUAUCAAAGUGAACCACUGACAGUAUCCAAUAUUCCAAGACUUUACACAGGAUAGUGCUGAAGUACUAUUCGAACUUGUGAAUUUCCGAGAAGCAUAUUCAGAAAAGUGUACCAACUCACCUAUUCAAAAUAGCAUGGAUACAAUGUAAAUGGCAUAUGUGGUCAAAGAUGCAUCAGUCUAAGAUCAUUUAUCUAUUUUUUAAAUUUUAUAUACUUAUUUUGAGAGAGAGAAAGUGCGUGUGGAAGGAGCAGAGAGAGAGAGAAUCCCGAGGCAGAUUCCAAUUCAGAGUUCAAACUCAUGAACUGUGAGAUCAUGACCUGAGCCAAAACCAAGAGUUGGAAGCUUAACCAAUUGAGCCAUCCAGGCAACCCUAAGAUCAAUUAUCAAAUCCAGAAUGUUUGAGAAUAUAAAUAUAUCCAUGAUUGGACCAACGUAAUGACAAAACCAACAAGAAAUCAAAAUACAACAAUCGUCUGUCCAAGUCUGUCUGUUUCCCUAAGCUUUCAUAUAAACCAACUGUCAGUAGUUGGUAACUAAAUUAUGGCGAUAUAUCACUUUAUAAAUAACUAAAGAUCAAUGAGUAAAGGAAAUUUCCAAUGUUUAAUAAUUAAUGAUAAAUAACAGUGUUUGGUCUACCAUAAGAUGCCUGAAAUUUAAACAGAAAAUGGUGAUUGCUCAAAAUUGUCUACUAACUCAAAAUAAAAAAAAAAAUAAAGAAAAUGUAUUAUUUUAUGUUUCUCUUUGUGGCCACCUUCCCUUCAGUAUCUUAAAAAUACAAGUCCAUCCAGUUAUCUCCAUUAAAAUUCUACUGUUAUAUAUAUUUGACAAAUGCUGUCUACUAAACCUGUUUCUGUAAAUUAACAAAUACUAUAUUCUGUACUUGGUUAGAAAUAUAGUAUUAUAAUUUAACUUUAUAAAGCUAAAGAAAUUAUGAUGAUAUAUUUUUACUGUUCUUUUUCACUUCCACAGUUUCUGAUAAUAUUCUUUACUUCUUGACCACAACUAAUCGAUCUUAAAAAAAUUAGAAAAAUAAUAUUAAAAAAUAAACUGGUAUAAAAUUAUAUCAUUGUACUUAGCCUGGGUUUUUUACUUAGGAAAUUUACUAAGUUCAGAGAUUAUUACACUUUCUUGAAAUUCAUAAAUAUCGAAAUUUUCAACUACUACUCAUUCAGUACUUUAGGAGUAAUCUUUAUAUUUCUGACUUAAAAUGAAAUAAUAUCUUAUAAUUAUAGUGACUUGAUAUGCAUGCUGUAUAGUCUUUGAAUGUAGAUAAGGAAGAGUUCAUCAGAAGUGUCUAAUAUAUAAUUUGCUUUUAUUAUUUUUCAACGAGGUAUCCUAGCAACAAUGAAAGACUAGUCAUUGCCUUGCCUUCUUCUCUUCUUGGGUUAUUGACAGCUCUUCCUGAUAGAGCACACUGUUUGUGCAUGCCAAAGACAGCAGUAACCAGCGGCCAGUCGUGUGACCUAGUUUCAUUCGAGCUGAGAUUUCCAGUUCUUCCAAUUUACAGACAGCAGAUGCUACGGGAAAGAUAACGAAGCACCAAAGAAUGAUGAAAAACUUCAUACAAGAGAUGUGUCUGAGCUCAGUCUGUAGAAUUAAUGGGAUCACGUGAAAUGCAGUAGGCAAGAAGGAAGGCUGAAAGUGCUCAGUGUUAUGAGAGCAGAAGUGAGAAGACAGUGGGCCAUGAGGAUACUUUAAGGGGAAGAUUGGACCCUGAGCCUGAGGAAUUAGCUGGGUCUGAUGCCUUUCACAGAGCUUGAAUGCCAGCCAAAGGAUUUCAGACAUUUCUUAGAUAUAGUGAAGAGCCUUUGAAGCAUUUGGUCAGGAAAGUGGCAGGAAGAAUAUGAGUAAUUUAAAGAAAAUCAAUCCCUUUUGCCCAUCACAGUGGAAAGAAAGAAGGAAUCAAGAAAAAUGACAGAAAAGAGAAUCAUGAUCCUGAAGAUUUAAACUACUUUAAGCAACUGGAGAGCUCAGCAUCCAAACUGAAACAGUCUAGAAGAAUAGAAACGACUUUAGGAUGUCAAAUGGUUUGAUGUAAGAGGGGAUUCUCCUUUCUACUUUGAAUACGUGAUGGGAGUGCUGAUCCAAAAUGAGCCCAAAAAUGGUGGUAAGAAUAUAAAGAAAGGAGACAACUGUACAGAGUAUAGACUUGCAAUGUGCUUUCUGGGUUAUGUUUUCCUAUGGACAAAUGGAAACAAAUGGCGAAUGAAGAAAUAAACCUCUAAAAACACCAAACAUAUUAAAGUGUCUCUAUCCAUGUUACCUCUCUUCCCUUUUCAGUUACACAGAAAAUAGUGAUUUCUAUAGUAUAAAUGAACAAUGAAGCCUAGUAAAUGGCAGAUUCUGCAUUUGUAGAUCACUUCAUAGGUAUAUUUUACCUCUCAAAACCCAUUUUGAAAUAAUUGCACAGACAGCAUUAGAAAAUACUGUUUUCUAUACUAUAACGUAUGGCAUAAUAGAACUCACUACUUAAUAUCUUAUUACGUUUGAAACUUCUGAGGUAUAAAUCAUGAUAUCCUAUAGAAAAUUCAAAUUCACCUUUGAUUUUCAUUAGAUAAUUCAGAUGUAAAGCAUUUGCAAGCAAACUAAUUAUGUGAGUUAUCUUGAAGAAGCACUAAGAGAAAGAAAGGACGACU